AGCAUCUGUCACUUGGCUGUGGGCCACAGAGUAAUGCUCCCCACCGUGGUGUUCAUGGGGUCUCCUGAACGGUUUGAAUCACUAGACAUUAGAAACAAAUCCCAAUGUCAGGCCUUUUUCUACCUGAGCAGGGUGGUGAAGGGCCUCUCCAUCUGUACCACCCACCUCCUGAGUGUUGCAUGCCAACACCAUCAGCCCUAGCACCUCCUGAACAGUGAAGUUUAAACGUGCUCCACCAGUUACACCUUCCAUUCCUUCUAUUUUUGGCUUCUCUGUUCUUGAUGGAGUGGCCUGAUCUUCCAUGCUGUGGCUUCUUCCAAUGGUAUCAAGCCAAAUCUUCUGAUUCUUAGUAAAUCCUACUUGCUUUUCCCUUUAAGUUAGGUUGUCAGGAGACUAUUUUUCAUAGUGCUGCUAUUGAGAAACAUCAACUUUGUAGAAUGCACGCCCCUCUUAAGUGCACACAUGGCAAUUCUCUUGUUCAGGCCUCAGAGGUGAUCUCCGCACCUGCACAGCACCAGCUGCUCCCCAAGAUCCUCCACAGAGAAAAGGGACACCUAGAUCAUCCUGCUGCUGCUGUGCAGUUGCUGAGGUCACCUCUGAGGCCUGAACAAGAGAAUCACCAUGUGUGCACUUAAGAGUGGCGUGCAUUCUACAGAGGUGACAUUUCUCAGUAGCAGCACCAGGAAAAAUAGUCUCCUGACAACAUAGCUCAAAGGAAAAAGCAGGCAGAAUUUACUAAGAAUCAGCAGAUUUGGUUUGAUAACAUUGGAAGAAACCACAGUGUGGAAGAUCAGGCCACUCCAUCAAGAACAGAUUGAUAUUCAGGCCACUACAUAAAGAAUGAUUGCUUGAUAUUCUCAUCUAUGUUUACAGGUUGUCUUUUCUAAAUUUUAUUUUAAUUUUAGAUUCAGAGGGUAUAUGUGCAGGUUUAUUACCGGAGGAUGUUGUGUGGUGCCAAGAUUUGGGCUUCUGAUGACCCUGUCACUCAAGUAGUGAACAUAUCACCUGUGAGGUAGUUUUUCAGCCCAUGCCUCCCUCCCUCCCUCUCCCUUUUAGGAAUCCCCUGUGUUUAUUGUUCCCCUCUCCAUGUCCAUGUGUACCCAAAGUUGAG
rnacentral:lncRNA from 1 species